rnacentral:tRNA from 1 species
GGGCUCCUGGUCUAGCGGUUAUGACGUUUGCCUCACACGCAGAAGGUCGCCAGUUCAAAUCUGGCUGAGCCCA